AGAGUUUGAUCCUGGCUCAGAAUCAACGCUGGCGGCGUGCCUAACACAUGCAAGUCGAACGAGAAAGGGGAGCAAUCCCUGAGUAAAGUGGCGCACGGGUGAGUAACACGUGACUAACCUACCCUUGAGUGGGGGAUAACUUCGGGAAACCGAGGCUAAUACCGCAUAAUACCUACGGGUCAAAGGAGCAAUUCGCUCAAGGAGGGGGUCGCGGCCGAUUAGUUAGUUGGCGGGGUAAUGGCCCACCAAGACGAUGAUCGGUAUCCGGCCUGAGAGGGCGCACGGACACACUGGAACUGAAACACGGUCCAGACUCCUACGGGAGGCAGCAGUGGGGAAUUUUGCGCAAUGGGGGAAACCCUGACGCAGCAACGCCGCGUGGAGGAUGAAGUCCUUCGGGACGUAAACUCCUUUCGAUCGGGACGAUUAUGACGGUACCGGAAGAAGAAGCCCCGGCUAACUUCGUGCCAGCAGCCGCGGUAAUACGAGGGGGGCGAGCGUUGUUCGGAAUUAUUGGGCGUAAAGGGUGCGUAGGCGGUUUGGUAAGUCUGAUGUGAAAUCUAUGGGCUCAACUCAUAGUCUGCAUUAGAAACUGCCGGGCUUGAGUAUGGGAGAGGUGAGUGGAAUUCCUGGUGUAGCGGUGAAAUGCGUAGAUAUCAGGAGGAACACCUGUGGCGAAAGCGGCUCACUGGACCAUAACUGACGCUGAUGCACGAAAGCUAGGGGAGCAAACAGGAUUAGAUACCCCUGUAGUCC
rnacentral:rRNA from 1 species